rnacentral:rRNA from 1 species
UACGUAGGGGGCAAGCGUUGUCCGGAUUUACUGGGCGUAAAGAGCGUGUAGGCGGCCAUGCAGGUCCGGUGUGAAAACUGGAGGCUUAACCUCCAGACGUCGACGGAAACCGCGUGGCUAGAGUCCGGAAGAGGAGAGUGGGAUUCCUGGUGUAGCGGUGAAAUGCGCAGAUAUCAGGAAGAACACCAAUGGCGAAGGCAGCUCUCUGGGACGGUACUGACGCUGAGACGCGAAAGCGUGGGGAGCGAACAGG